CCGGGGUGACGAAGUGGUUGAUGCCAUGCUUCCAAGAAAAGCUUCUAAGCUUCAGGUAACCAGGAACCGUACCCCAAACCGACACAGGUGGUUGGGUAGAGAAUACCAAGGCGCUUGAGAGAACUCGGGUGAAGGAACUAGGCAAAAUGGCACCGUAACUUCGGGAGAAGGUGCGCCGGUGAGGGUGAAGGACUUGCUCCGUAAGCCCACGCCGGUCGAAGAUACCAGGCCGCUGCGACUGUUUAUUAAAAACACAGCACUCUGCAAACACGAAAGUGGACGUAUAGGGUGUGACGCCUCCCCGGUGCCGGAAGGUUAAUUGAUGGGGUUAGCUAACGCGAAGCUCUUGAUCGAAGCCCCGGUAAACGGCGGCCGUAACGAUAACGGUCCUAAGGUAGCGAAAUUCCUUGUCGGGUAAGUUCCGACCUGCACGAAUGGCGUAACGAUGGCGGCGCUGUCUCCACCCGAGACUCAGUGAAAUUGAAAUCGCUGUGAAGAUGCAGUGUAUCCGCGGCUAGACGGAAAGACCCCGUGAACCUUUACUAUAGCUUUGCACUGGACUUUGAAUUUGCUUGUGUAGGAUAGGUGGGAGGCUUUGAAGCGUGGACGCCAGUUCGCGUGGAGCCAACCUUGAAAUACCACCCUGGCAACUUUGAGGUUCUAGCUCAGGUCCGUUAUCCGGAUCGAGGACAGUGUAUGGUGGGUAGUUUGACUGGGGCGGUCUCCUCCUAAAGAGUAACGGAGGAGUACGAAGGUGCGCUCAGACCGGUCGGAAAUCGGUCGUAGAGUAUAAAGGCAAAAGCGCGCUUGACUGCGAGACAGACACGUCGAGCAGGUACGAAAGUAGGUCUUAGUGAUCCGGUGGUUCUGUAUGGAAGGGCCAUCGCUCAACGGAUAAAAGGUACUCCGGGGAUAACAGGCUGAUACCGCCCAAGAGUUCAUAUCGACGGCGGUGUUUGGCACCUCGAUGUCGGCUCAUCACAUCCUGGGGCUGAAGCCGGUCCCAAGGGUAUGGCUGUUCGCCAUUUAAAGUGGUACGCGAGCUGGGUUUAGAACGUCGUGAGACAGUUCGGUCCCUAUCUGCCGUGGACGUUUGAGAUUUGAGAGGGGCUGCUCCUAGUACGAGAGGACCGGAGUGGACGAACCUCUGGUGUUCCGGUUGUCACGCCAGUGGCAUUGCCGGGUAGCUAUGUUCGGAAUAGAUAACCGCUGAAAGCAUCUAAGCGGGAAACUAGCCUCAAGAUGAGAUCUCACUGGGACCUUGAGUCCCCUGAAGGGCCGUCGAAGACUACGACGUUGAUAGGUUGGGUGUGUAAGCGCUGUGAGGCGUUGAGCUAACCAAUACUAAUUGCCCGUGAGGCUUGACCU
rnacentral:rRNA from 1 species